GGGUCAAGAAAUCUUGGGUAACAACAACGGUGGCGAUGGUUGAUUUCAAGGUGUUGUUUUGUGAGUGGUUGUGGCUACUGCGUGAUGGUUGUGGGUAGUGGCGAUGGGGGUGGUUGUGCUAUCAUCUAUUGUACGAUUCUAGGAAAAUAUGGUUUGUGACGAGUAGUGCUAUUGUGGUUGGAGUUGUUAGCUGCAACUUUGUGGGUGGCUAUUGCUAUCAUGUGAUGGUUGUGGGUGGUGGUAGUGGCGGUGAUUGUUGGUGGUGGUUGCUUCGAUGGCUAUAGUGUGAUCGAUUCAAGAGAGUGUGGGGUGGAGAAUAGUGCUCUAAUUGUGGUUGUCAUUCACG
rnacentral:lncRNA from 1 species